UUAUUAUUUUGUUGGGAAGCUCUUAGUUGAAACUGAGAAUGAACCUUGUAUAACAAGGUUUGAUAUUUUGGGAGGGGGAAAAAUACUCAUCAAAGCCUCCACUGACAGUACAAAGCAAGGAACAGCUGGGGAGAGGGGCCCAUAGUAACAACACUCCAAAGCAGGAAGGAGGUCUUGGUGGGGGGAAAGGCAGUCAGCCCUGGAGUCGCACCCCGCCCUCUCUGUCCCUUUCCCCAGUCCUGCGGGCAACCGGGAGGUCAACAUAGGAAGACGAACCGCUCCCGCCGCCGCCGGAAUGGCCAGGGCAAUCGGGGACCCCUAGAAAUAGCCACGGGCAUCGGGGAACUCCAACUUCCCCAGCGGAGCAGCGAGAAAAACGAACAGGAACGGAGCCGCAGGCUGGUGGCGGGGGAGCGCGGUGGCUUCUCCGAGAGAGGGACAAGGAAGGGACUAUAAGGCGCUCACUUGGGGUGUGUGUUUGUGUGUGUUGGGGGGGCAGGAGGUGGAGCUUAAGUGCACAGGCACACACGCACUCGCACAACCUCAGGAGAAAAUGCCACCGAGCCACUGGGCUCUUUAACAAAAUAAUACAUUAAUAAAUCGGGGGGUGGGGACAAAAACCCAAACCACCACCCGCUGGUGAAACUUUUCUCCAGUCCAGAGCGAUCCUAAAAUAGGCUGUGCGAAAGGGCUUCCUGCGAGGGGGGGGGCGUGUUAGGACUGAGGGACUCGCGAGCCCCCCAAACUCAGGAAUGUGGGGUUAAGAGGGAGGGGGGGGAUGUCUGAGGAGCCCUAAACGCGACGAUUUGGGGUGAAAAGAUAGACAGAGAAGCAGCUGAUAGAAACACAAGAACACGAAGAAUCAGAAGUUCCAGAGCCAAGAAAGUUUACAACAAAAGAAUGAGCUGAAGCCGUAGGUCUCAUUGCAGCAGGAUUUGCUAAGUGCCAGGGUCGAGAUGCUAACUAACAUUGAACGGUUUGCAAAGGUUUGCGUUCCAUUCUGUUUCUGAGGACGUCAGCUGCUACCAGGCCAUGCAUAACCGAAAAAAAAAAAAGGCUGAGCAAACAGCCCUAGGUACCUUUUGCAGGAAACUGCACUUCAGGGGCGAGCACCUCUCCUUCAGCAACAGCACCGAAUCCUGAUUCUCCGAUUCUCCAGCUCCCACUCCACGGCCUGCAGCACCAACCCUGCCAUCACCUUCUGAUUAAUGUCAGCUGCCUUCUUGCCUCAAAAAUUCCCCUUCCAGGAAGCCAGAUAUUGAUGCAACAUUGGGCAAAAUGCUGCAGAAGUGAGCGCCCCAGUGGCGGAUCCUCGUCCAACUUCCCCCUGCCCCGAGAGGCAGACGAUGGUGGGACACACGCAGGGGACCCACACUGCCAGCUGCUGCGUCUGGGCAAUGCCAUUUCUGUCAUCAGCCCUUUCUCCAUUAAAACACGAGCAAUGCCCGCAAGGAGCUCCGUCCCUCUGCUCAGAGAAGGUGUCCCCAACCCUGCAGACGGGCUUGGCCUUGGAUGUGUGCAGGAGAGGGCGUGGAAGGAAGGGGCUGACCAUGGCGGGUCAUGGUCAUGGUUGAAAACCAACAGCCAGGACGCUGGGAGAGCCAUCAGCUCAGUGUCCUCGGGGAGUGGGCAUGGGGAAUGACUGUCUUACCUGGGGCAGGCCGGGGCACGGUGGCCAGGGCUUUAUACCCGCACGUCGAUGCGUGCUGCUCCGGGACGGGGCGAGACCCCGGGUGAGGACCUGCAAUUCAGCAGACACGGAUCUGAAGGGGUGGACGGCAGAGGUCCGCUUCCGGCAGCAUUCUCAGAAGCUGGGGCGCAAGCCUUUCAUCACUGAAGAGAUCUGGGUGACCCGGCAGUGUCCUCCUCAUCCUCACUGGGCCUUGUUUGGGAUGACCUACGGGCAGGGCUUUCCUAAGCAGAUUUACUCUUCUGUAGCGAGAGACAGAGAGAGAAAAUGUGCACGUGUGUGUGUGAUUGUGUGAAAGGGUACACGAGUGCACAGGUGUGAGUACAUGUCACAGUGUGUUGUGUGACUGUGGACGAGGGUGUGUGUGAGCAAGUGCGUGUGCAUAUAUAUGCAUCUGCGCAUAUAUAUAAUUGUGUGUUUAUAUGAGCGUGCGUGAGAGUGUGGCGUGUACAAGUGUGAGUGCAUAUUGUGUGACUAUACGUCACUGUGUCUGCGUGACGGUGUGUGUGUGUGUGCGUGAGUGUCCGUGUGAUUAGGCACAUGUGAGUGCCUGUGUGUGCGAGU